ACUCCUACGGGAGGCAGCAGUGGGGAAUUUUGGACAAUGGGGGAAACCCUGAUCCAGCAAUGCCGCGUGUGUGAAGAAGGCCUUCGGGUUGUAAAGCACUUUUGUCCGGAAAGAAAACUUCGGGGCUAAUACCUCUGGAGGAUGACGGUACCGGAAGAAUAAGCACCGGCUAACUACGUGCCAGCAGCCGCGGUAAUACGUAGGGUGCGAGCGUUAAUCGGAAUUACUGGGCGUAAAGCGUGCGCAGGCGGUCUGUUAAGACAGAUGUGAAAUCCCCGGGCUUAACCUGGGAACUGCAUUUGUGACUGGCAGGCUAGAGUAUGGCAGAGGGGGGUAGAAUUCCACGUGUAGCAGUGAAAUGCGUAGAGAUGUGGAGGAAUACCGAUGGCGAAGGCAGCCCCCUGGGCCAAUACUGACGCUCAUGCACGAAAGCGUGGGGAGCAAACAGGAUUAGAUACCCUGGUAGUCCACGCCCUAAACGAUGUCAACUAGUUGUUGGGGAUUCAUUUCCUUAGUAACGUAGCUAACGCGUGAAGUUGACCGCCUGGGGAGUACGGUCGCAAGAUUAAAACUCAAAGGAAUUGACG
rnacentral:rRNA from 1 species